ACUUCCUAUAAGAAGAGAGGCAUGGAGUAGAGCAGUCAUCUGGUAAUGAACAGAGGAACACCUGCCUCAUGGCCCUUGGCUAGUAAUCUGUCUUUCAUCAAAAGCAGUAAAGAUCCAAUUGAGAGAUCAGUCACAGAAGUCAGAUGUUUGAGAGAAAAAUGUCAACUGCUUGACUGAUGAAGCCUGGAUUAGAGUGUGUGGCAACCAUAACUGGUGAUAAAACAGAAAAGUCAACAGAUUAGGUUCUGCUCUUAUGGUAGUGAGUAUAUGGUGCUUCACUUUAGUGUAUAACAACCACAAUU